rnacentral:rRNA from 1 species
AACGAACGCUGGCGGCAUGCCUAACACAUGCAAGUCGAACGAGACCUUCGUGUCUAGUGGCGCACGGGUGCGUAACGCGUGGGAACCUGCCCUUAGGUUCGGAAUAACUCCCCGAAAGGGGUGCUAAUACCGGAUAAUGUCUUCGGACCAAAGAUUUAUCGCCUUUGGAUGGGCCCGCGUUGGAUUAGCUAGUUGGUAGGGUAAAAGCCUACCAAGGCGACGAUCCAUAGCUGGUCUGAGAGGAUGAUCAGCCACACUGGGACUGAGACACGGCCCAGAAUACUACGGGAGGCAGCAGUGGGGAAUAUUGGACAAUGGGCGAAAGGCUGAUCCAGCAAGGCCGCGUGAGUGAUGAAGGCCUUAGGGUUGUAAAGCUCUUUUACCCGGGAUGAUAAUGACAGUACCGGGAGAAUAAGCUCCGGCUAACUCCGUG